AUAGAGUUAGACCAAGUCCAGCAAGGGUUUUUAAUGGGUUUCUAAGAUGGGGUUCUAAGAAGAAAUGGGCCCAGAUGAAAGAAAAACAGAUCAAUCCAUUUAGGAUCGUUCCCAAAAAUAGGUUUUUCGCGACCCAAUAGAAACUCAUACGUGUCUGUUUUUUAUUGGGUAGAGGUUGUUGACAAAAAAAAACGCGUUUUAUUUUUCUUCUUCUUUCUCUUUUCUUCUUCGGGGUCUCCGUCGGCGACACCAAACGCUUCAGUUCGUCGACGCCGAUCUAGUGAUUUGUUCAUGAAAUCAUGACAGAUCAUCCACCUAAACGACUGAUUCAACCACGGGAUGAUGAUCGAGCUGGAGUUUGUUCCCCAAAUCGAUUCUUCGAACCAAAUCGAAACCCUCAUCAUGUGAAGUCUUAUUGUUGGAUACUUUCAUGCAAACGAGAGGUUUGAUGAUGUUAAGCUCUGUGGUGUGGCUAAAAACAUUGGUGAUCUCAUUUCUCGCUAUUUCCCUCAGGCACCAAUUCUCUUGUUGAACAACAAAAAGCUUGAAGCCUUAUCAAAGGGUAAAGAGCGAAGCCCUGUGAUGCAGGUUGGUAUUAAUUAAUGAAAUCAAUGCUUUACUGUUAUUUAUUGUGAUAAAUGCUUCUUGGUUGAUAUAAAUAGAAGUGUCAUAGUUAGAUAAACGUCAAAUGCUUUUGUAGGUAAACGUCAAAUGCUAGUUCUUAUAGCAUUUAAAACUGUAAAACUGUGAUGAUUACUUGGUAGGUUAACUUAAGUUAAUAGUAUUUAGUGUGGCAUUGAUUGUGAGCUGUCUAACAAAGCCAUAAUUUGCCUUAAAACACAGCACCAUAACCUUUAAUUUUUAAAACACACAACCACAAACAAAGAUAUGGAUUCAACGAAUCCAUAUCAUCAUACUUCAAGCUUUAUAAACCUGUUGAACAGUCAAGAUGACAGUCACAUUCUCCCACCAAAUCCAUAUGAAUGCUUGGAACUUGGAUCAACAAAUGUCCCUGUGUUUAGCACUGAGUGGUCUGAUGAUGAUCCAAGUGAAGAUGAAACACCAAUUGUUGGGAAGAAAGGGAAGAAAGCCAAGAAACCAAGGAGGAAUUGGUCAUCAACUGAAGAUGUUGUUCUCAUAAGUGGGUGGCUGAACACUUCCAAGGAUCUGGUGGUUGGCAA